UGUACUGCACUACACUGCACUUAAGUCGGAACUACCUAUAGUAGUCUGUACGACUAUGAUGGUGAAUUAAUACGCUCUAGUGCUUCUCUCAUUAAUCAUCUGUGCAUAUAAUCUAAGGUCACCUACUAGUCGGAACCACCUCUAGUGGUCUGUACGACUAGCAUGUCGGAACCCUCACAUGGUCUAUACGACAUGCACCAACUUGGAUCCAAGGUGAGCGUGCGGUGCGGUGAAUAAUAUGAGCACUAACACCAGGGGUGUAGGUUAUGAGCUCUCAACACAAUUCACAUCAUCAAUGAUUCACAUGAAUAACAUAAAACUCACCUGAUACUCACCUAUGCGUCCACAGCACCAAUUCACAUAAAUAUGCAUCAAUUAUCAAUCCAUAUAAUUUAUAAUAUGCAUGCUUGGCAAUUGAAAACAUACUUUCAUAUAAAUUCAAUUUCUGGGAACAUUAAUAGUAUAUAGGUAAUACGAAAAACAAAACUGCCCACUCACUGGUAAGUCGAUGGGUCGUAACCCCCGUGAUGUCCCUGGAUGCGCUCGUCCUCGGGAUAGGUGUCACCUAUAUGCGAAACAACUAUAAAAAAGUUAAUUAAUGCACAUAACCGAUAAUUUGAAAUAACUUCUCAUACGGUGCUCAAUUUGGGUAUAUGAAUAUACCACAUCGACCUACUCGACGUCACGAACGUUGAGAAAGUUUUAGAAAUUUUUUUUGACGUGGCACGCGCCCCCACGCGCCAGGGCAGCACGGGUACAUGCGCCCCCCACGCGCGUCUUCUUCCUUGGUUCGCCGGACUGUGUUUUCCGGUGGCUGGAAAACUGGGGAUUUUUCAAUCCCCUUGUUCUCCCUCAUUUCUUAACCGUUUUCUUCGUAUUUUAUAUCAAUUUGAAGCCCUCAACAUGUAGAAUCAUGAUAGACUAGUUUCAAGGUCUAAAAUCCACUAGAUUUUACCUGAGAAAGCUCGAUAAUCCGGCCAAAUUUGAAAAACUCCGUUCUCAGUCCUUCAACGUCCAAAUUCUACCAACGAAGUACCCCGAAGCUCGUGAGGAUCUCCUUAAGCUCACUGUGAGCUUGAAAUUCCCUGAAAUGCAAGAUUUUACCUGUGCAUGAACAAUGCACAUUUUCGGGGUUAGGGUUUCACGACAAUUCUGAGGGUUUUAACUUCCACAAAUCACAUAUACGAACUCACAAGCUUACUAGGAGUUCAAAUCUUACCUUAGAACCUUCGAUCCGUGAAGAAAUGGGAGGUUCUUAGCUUGUCCGUACAAUUCGAGAGGGAGAGAGAGAGAAAGCCGUGAGGGAGGAGAGAGAGAAACACGGGGGAGGGAGAGAGGGAAGGAAGUGUGUGUGUGUGGUCUAUCACAACCCCUCACCAUCCAUUUCUUUUUCCUAACUCCCUAACCACAUAAAUUACAAACCAACAUUUUAAUCUCACUUAAGUUAUUUCCCAAAGCUUAUGAAAAUUUAGUCUAAAUAAUAUGUCACACACACACACAUACCUUAAUACCCGUCAAGGGUGAUUCCGCCAUUUCAUGUCCCCGAUAUAAAGAAUCAUAGGACGGGCUGUGACACUAGUAGUUUCUAAUUGAUGUCUUGUAUUUGUACCAUACUUUACCAAUACCGAAACUACUGAGCAUCGGUCAACGUUAUACCGUCAAGGACCUAGAAGAGUUUCCCUCCAACCAGGAGGCCAAUCACAGCGCGACACGUGUCGACAUCAGAAGCCAAUCAUAGCGCGACAUGUGUUAACAUCAGAAGCCAAUCACAACACAACACGUGUCAAUGUCAGAAUGAAACUAGAAACUCUCUUCUAUAAAUAGAGAUCAUUCUCUCACAAUAUUUCUGAAUGUCAUUUGUACUAAAUCAUUCAUUAGUACUCACUAAAGGAGAGCUUGAACUUAUGUACUUGUGUAAACCCUUCACAAUUA
rnacentral:lncRNA from 1 species